rnacentral:lncRNA from 1 species
GUCCAGAUUCACUCCCUAUUUAAUCGCGAUCGGAUGGUUCAAAUCAAACGCGAUGGACAACCCAGAUCAAAAGCGGAUGGAUAUAAAUAACUCUCAUUCGUACCAAACCCUAACCUUAGCUGCUAGAACCCCUCGCUAGAGAAAAAGACCUGGCCGCCGGGAAGGAGACCACUGCCACCCGACGCUGCACCGGAACCCUUUUUGACCGCCAAAAAAAGGCAAAAACUUCCCUUUUUACUCAAAAUUAAAUUUUAAGCACACUCAUGGCCAAAUCAGAGCAAAAAGACUAGCCAAUUAGGCCAAUUGGCCGAAAAACAUCAGCGAAAUCUGGCGAUGCCACUACGUGGAAUUUCACAAAACGCCUUCGAUGAGGCCCUUUCUAAUUCCUAUUUGGUGUAAUUUUGCCACUAUCAUGAUCAUCGUGUCCUUCUCUACAGGUUUACCAUAGCAAAACACACAACCACAAUGUGAGCCAGAGGAGUCACCGUACCGGAGAGCCCCACCACCAGUGAGUUUUGGUUUUUUGUAUUUUUUCGGCCAACCGAUGUCCUUUAACAUAUUUUUUCGCAGGGAUCGAUGCAAAAUUGGUCGAAUUCAGC